AGAGUUUGAUCAUGGCUCAGGACGAACGCUGGCGGCGUGCUUAACACAUGCAAGUCGAGCGGAAAGGCUCCUUCGGGGGUACUCGAGCGGCGAACGGGUGAGUAACACGUGAGUAAUCUGCCCUCCACUUCGGGAUAGCCACCGGAAACGGUGAUUAAUACCGGAUAUGACUGUCGCCUGCAUGGGUGGUGGUGGAAAGUUUUUCGGUGGGGGAUGUGCUCGCGGCCUAUCAGCUUGUUGGUGGGGUAAUGGCCUACCAAGGCUUCGACGGGUAGCCGGCCUGAGAGGGUGACCGGUCACACUGGGACUGAGACACGGCCCAGACUCCUACGGGAGGCAGCAGUGGGGAAUAUUGGACAAUGGGCGGAAGCCUGAUCCAGCAACGCCGCGUGAGGGAUGACUGCCUUCGGGUUGUAAACCUCUUUCAGUACCGACGAAGCGGAAGUGACGGUAGGUACAGAAGAAGCACCGGCCAACUACGUGCCAGCAGCCGCGGUAAUAC
rnacentral:rRNA from 1 species